rnacentral:tRNA from 1 species
UAUCUAUUGUGGUCAAUGAUUAUGUCUGCACUUAUGCUAUUGAUGACACUGAUGAGGAUAAUGAUGCU